GAUCCUGGCUCAGGAUGAACGCUAGCUACAGGCUUAACACAUGCAAGUCGAGGGGCAGCGGGAUUGAAGCUUGCUUCAAUUGCCGGCGACCGGCGCACGGGUGAGUAACGCGUAUCCAACCCUCCGUACACUCAGGGAUAGCCUUUCGAAAGAAAGAUUAAUACCUAGAUGGUAUGAUGAGAUUGCAUGAUAUCGAUCAUUAAAGAUUUAUCGGUGUACGAUGGG
rnacentral:rRNA from 1 species